UGAUUAUGGCUCAGGUGAACGCUGCUUGGGAUGCUUUACACAUGCGAUCGAACGGCAGCACGGACUUCGGUCUGGUGGCGAGUGGCGAACGGGUGAGUAAUGUAUCGGAACGUAUGCCUAGUAGCUGGCGGGGGAUAACUACGCGAAAGCGUAGCUAAUACCGCAUACGCCCUUCGGGGGAAAGCAGGGGACCUUCGGGCCUCGCACUAUUGAAACGGCCGUCAUCGGAUUAGCUAGUUGGUGGGGUAACGGCUCACCAAGGCGACGAUCCGUAGCUGGUUUGAGAGGACGACCAGCCACACUGGGACUGAGACACGGCCCAGACUCCUACGGGAGGCAGCAGUGAAAUUUUGGACAAUGGGGAAACCCUGAUCCAGCCAUCCCGCGUGUGCGAUGACUGGGUUGUAAAGCACUUUUGGCAGGAAAAAGAAACGGCAGGAUAGCCUGCAACUGACCGUACCUGCAGAAUGGCACCGGCUAACUACGUGCCAGCAGCCGCGGUAAUACGUAGGGUGCAAGCGUUAAUCGGAAUUACUGGGCGUAAAGCUUCCGCGAACGGUUCGGAAAGAAGAUGUGAAAUCCCAGGCUUAACUUUGGAACUGCAUUUUUAACUACCGAGCUAGAGUAUGUCAGAGGGGAGGUGGAAUUCCCGCGUGUAGCAGUGAAAUGCGUAGAUAUGCUGGAGAGGAACACCGAUGGCGAAGGCAGCCUCCUGGGAUAACACUGACGCUCAUGCACGAAAGCGUGGGAGCAAACAGGAUUAGAUACCCUGGUCCACGCCCUAAACGAUGUCAACUAGCUGUUGGGGCCUUCGGGCCUUGGUAGCGCAGCUAACGCGUAGAAGUUGACCGCCUGGGGAGUACGGUCGCAAGAUUAAAACUCAAGGAAUUGACGGGGACCCGCACAAGCGGUGGAUGAUGUGGAUUAAUUCGAUGCAACGCGAAAAACGCCACCUACCCUUGACAUGUCUGGAAUCCCGAAGAGAUUUGGGAGUGCUCGCAAGAGAACCGGAACACGGGUGCUGCAUGGCUGUCGUCAGCUCGUGUCGUGGGAUGUUAGGUUAGAGUCCGCAACGAGCGCAACCCUUGUCAUUAGUUGCUACAGAAAGGGCUCUAAUGAGACUGCACCGGUAUUGACAAACCGGAGGAAGGUGAGAUGACGUCAAGUCCUCAUGGCUGUUCCCAUAUGGGUGGGGCUUCACACGUCAUACAAUGGUCGGGACAGGGUCGCCAGCCCCGCGAGGGGGAGCCAAUCCCAGAAACCCGAUCGUAGUCCGGAUCACCAGUCAACUCGACUGCGUGAAGUCGGAAUCGCUAGUAAUCGCGGAUCAGCAUGUCGCGGUGAAUACGUUCCCGGGUCUUGUACACACCACCCGUCACACCAUGGGAGUGGGUUUUACCAGAAGUAGUUAGCCUAACCGUAAGGAGGGCGAUUACCACGGUAGGAUUCAUGACUGGGGUGAAGUCGUAACAAGGUAA
rnacentral:rRNA from 1 species